GAAAAAUUAAAAGAAACUUUUAAUUGCUUAGGGGUCUAAUUGCCGAAUUUCCAAAGUCCAGGGGUCAAUUGAAAAUGUCCAUGGCUGCUUGAACGUCGCCGUUACUGGUGAAAUCCAUUGCUACCGAAACGUCGUCGUUGAUGGUGGAACAGUCGUGUUCGUCUUCUGCAUCCCGAUUCAACAGGCUGAAGAUCUGCAACGAAGUUGAUCCCAUCGUGGACCACGUCUAUCGCACACGAUCUCGUCGGGGAAGAUAAGAGUCCUGCGAAGACAGGACUGGUUAAAGGAGAGGAGCUGGGUAGUCUAUAAAAGGGAGCAGAAAACCUAGUCGCAAG
rnacentral:lncRNA from 1 species